CACCCGCCCACACGGUUUGCCGUGUUUUCACCCUUCUUUGUUCUCCACCGGUCUGGGCAGGGUCUGAGGACUCCGGAGAGCAAGGCAUGGGUCCGCCUCGUGCCGCAGGGAUUUGAGGACACACGCCAGCUGCCUACACCUGAAGAAAGGGCUUUGCUGCUACGCACUGACAAGUUGGACGGCUUUUUAUUGCUUUGUUGCCAGUUAUCUGAACAUGAGAGGCUGUAAGGUGUAAUCUGCGAGCCCUGCGCCCAGACUGAACCAGGGCCUCCCUUGAACAUGAGUAUUAGACAAAUGAAAUAAGAACUUAUCUUGCCCAGACUAUAUAAUGGCUUGGAAAUGCAUAGUUUCCUGAACGAUCUCAAUAAAAUACUUUUAAAAGUACUUAAAUAGACUUUUUCUGUGUCACUUUGUGGGGAGGUGUGAGAAGAUAUAGGAGCUAGUCAUUUCAUGUGUCUGGUUCCUGGUCCCUUAACAGCAUCUGUUCUGGAAGUACAGAUGAAAAUUCUAUACAGACCUGUAAGGCUGACCAUAGUUUUAGCAGAUUAGCAU
rnacentral:lncRNA from 1 species